UAACAGAAGUCCUGUGAGGCCUGCCUUGA
rnacentral:piRNA from 1 species